GACGAACGCUGGCGGCGUGCUUAACACAUGCGAGUCGAACGGAAAGGCCCUGCUUUUGUGGCGUGCUCGAGUGGCGAACGGGUGAGUAACACGUGAGUAACCUGCCCUUAACUUUGUGAUAACUUCACGAGACUGGGGCUCAUACCCGAUAGGAUCUCCUGCUGCAUGGUGUGGGUUGGAGAGUGUCGGCGGUUGUGGAUGGAUUGGCUGCUUAUCCGCUUGUUGGUGGGGUAGUGGCUUACCAAGGCUUUGACGGGUAGCCGGCCUGAGAGGGUGACCGGCCACAUUGGGACUGAGAUACGGACCAGACUCCUACGGGAGGCAGCAGUGGGAAAUAUUGCGCAAUGGGCGGAAGCGUGAUGCAGCAACGCCGCGUUCGGGAUGACGGCUUUCGGGUUGUAAACCGAUGUCGCCUGUGCUGAAGCGUGAGUGACGGUAAUGGGUAAAGAAGCAACGGCUAACUACGUG
rnacentral:rRNA from 1 species